UUUUGAGUUCUGUCUCUUUUCACAAUAAAAGCAUAAAGUUACUGUGAUGUGUUUGUGGUCUUUCUGUUUAACUUUAACACACGAUAAGAUGUCUGGGUGUCCCAGAGGUCUUCCAGGUCCAGCUGCAGCGUGAGAAACCCUCCAAUCAGAGCAGUCCAGUGGAGAGUGACCCUCUUCUUCAUCAGCUCUUCUUCAUCAACUCUUUGGACUGUUUGAAGAAACU